AACGAACGACUGGCGGCGUGCUUAACACAUGCAAGUCGAACGCGAAAGGGACUUCGGUCCUGAGUAAAGUGGCGGCACGGGUGAGUAACGCGUAGAUAACCUGUCUUCAUGUCUGGAAUAAUACGCCGAAAGGGGUACUAAUACCGGAUAUUCUUGCUUUUCAUAAGUUAUGCAAGCAAAGGUGGCCUCUGCAUAUGCUACUGCAUGAAGAGGGGUCUGCGUACCAUUAGCUAGUAGGUGGGGUAAUGGCCUACCUAGGCGACGAUGGUUAGCGGGUCUGAGAGGAUGAUCCGCCACACUGGCACUGGAACACGGGCCAGACUCCUACGGGAGGCAGCAGUGAGGAAUAUUGCGCAAUGGGGGAAACCCUGACGCAGCGACGCCGCGUGAGUGAGGAAAGGCCUUCGGGUCGUAAAGCUCUGUCAAGAGGAAAGAAGUGUACAAUGGCUAAUACCUGUUGUAUUUGACGGUACCUCUAAAGGAAGCACCGGCUAACUCCGUGCCAGCAGCUGC
rnacentral:rRNA from 1 species